rnacentral:pre_miRNA from 1 species
UCUUAUGGAUGGGCAAAGAAAGUGGUUUCUUGAGAUGGAAACUUCUCCUGGGGAAGGUGCUGUGAA